CUAGCGUUCACUAUCGCGCCCUUCACUAUUAGCCAUAGCCGCCUCCGCGCAAGGAUUUGAAACUUUUUUCCACAAACCCUACCUCUCUUCACUCUCGUGAUCUGCCACGAUAGACAGAGAAAUGGCGACUCUCCGCCACUGUCCGCAAACCCUACCUCUCUUCACUCUCGCGUUCUGCCACGAUAGACAGAGAAAUGGCGAAUCUCCACCACUGCCCGCAAACCCUACCUCUCUCCUCUUUCAAUCUCGUCUUUGUUUUACUUUAAUUUUGGACGAUCUUCAAUUCGGUUGCUAAAUUGUUCGUUUUGUUUGUCAGUACAUCGAGAUCAUCAAACUCGUGAAAGGAAGGCCACUG
rnacentral:lncRNA from 1 species